UACGUAGGGUGCAAGCGUUGUCCGGAAUUAUUGGGCGUAAAGAGCUCGUAGGCGGUUUGUCGCGUCUGCUGUGAAAACUCAGGGCUUAACCCUGAGCCUGCAGUGGGUACGGGCAGACUAGAGUGUGGUAGGGGAGAUCGGAAUUCCUGGUGUAGCGGUGGAAUGCGCAGAUAUCAGGAGGAACACCGGUGGCGUAAGCGGCGUACUGGGUCUUUUCUGACGCUGAGGCACGAAAGCUAGGGGAGCGAACGGG
rnacentral:rRNA from 1 species